rnacentral:rRNA from 1 species
GUCGGUGAUUAUUACACUGAGGACCCACCUGUUCCCAUUCCGAACACAGAAGUUAAGCUC